rnacentral:rRNA from 1 species
UACGAGAGGCCCAAACGUUAUUCGGAAUUACUGGGCUUAAAGAGUUCGUAGGCGGCGCAGAAAGUAGGGUGUGAAAGCCCUCGGCUCAACCGAGGAAUUGCGCUCUAAACUACUGUGCUCGAGGAACCUAGAGGUGAGCAGAACUGAUGGUGGAGCGGUGAAAUGCGUAGAUAUCUGGAGGAAUACCGGUGGCGAAGGCGGCAUCCUGGACCAUAACUGACGCUGAGGCGCGAAAGCGUGGGGAGCAAACAGG